rnacentral:rRNA from 1 species
CCUACGGGGGGCUGCAGUGGGGAAUAUUGGACAAUGGGCGAAAGCCUGAUCCAGCGACGCCGCGUGAGUGAUGAAGGCCUUCGGGUUGUAAAGCUCUGUUGAGGGAGAAGAAAACAGUUAGAACUAAUAUGUCUAGCUCUUGACGGUAUCCCUUUAGAAAGCACCGGCUAACUCCGUGCCAGCAGCCGCGGUAAUACGGAGGGUGCGAGCGUUAAUCGGAAUUACUGGGCGUAAAGGGCACACAGGCGGUUAAUUAAGUUGGAUGUGAAAUCCCCGGGCUUAACCUGGGAAUGGCAUUCAAGACUGGUUAGCUAGAGUCUUGUAGAGGGGGGUAGAAUUCCAUGUGUAGCGGUGAAAUGCGUAGAGAUGUGGAGGAAUACCGGUGGCGAAGGCGGCCCCCUGGACAAAGACUGACGCUCAGGUGCGAAAGCGUGGGGAGCAAACAGGAUUAGAUACCCUAGUAGUC